AGGCGCGUAGCUCAGGGGGGAGAGCGCUACCUUGACACGGUAGAGGUCGACGGUUCAAGACCGUCCGCGCCUACCA
rnacentral:tRNA from 1 species